rnacentral:rRNA from 1 species
UAUUGGACAAUGGGCGAAAGCCUGAUCCAGCAAUGCCGCGUGAGUGAUGAAGGCCUUAGGGUUGUAAAGCUCUUUUACCAGGGAUGAUAAUGACAGUACCUGGAGAAUAAGCUCCGGCUAACUCCGUGCCAGCAGCCGCGGUAAUACGGAGGGAGCUAGCGUUGUUCGGAAUUACUGGGCGUAAAGAGUACGUAGGCGGUGAUUCAAGUCAGAGGUGAAAGCCUGGAGCUCAACUCCAGAACUGCCUUUGAAACUAGAUCGCUAGAAUCAUGGAGAGGUUAGUGGAAUUCCGAGUGUAGAGGUGAAAUUCGUAGAUAUUCGGAAGAACACCAGUGGCGAAGGCGACUAACUGGACAUGUAUGACGCUGAGUACGAAU